rnacentral:rRNA from 1 species
GACGAACGCUGGCGGCGUGCUUAACACAUGCAAGUCGAACGAAGUGGCGAACGGGUGAGUAACGCGUAAUCAACCUGCCCUUCAGAGGGGGACAACAGUUGGAAACGACUGCUAAUACCGCAUACUGAAGGAGGGGCUUGCGUCUGAUUAGCUAGUGGGAGGGGUAACGGCCCACCAAGGCGAUGAUCAGUAGCCGGGCUGAGAGGAUGAACGGCCACAAUGGGGCUGGGACACGGGCCAGACUCCUACGGGAGGCAGCAGUGGGGAAUCAUCCGCAAUGGAAGAAAGUCUGACGGAGCAACGCCGCGUGAGUGAUGACGGCCUGCGGGUUGUAAAGCUCUGUUAAUCGGGACGCGGUACCGGAAUAGAAAGCCACGGCUAACUACGUGCCAGCAGCCGCGGUAAUAC